rnacentral:rRNA from 1 species
UACGUAGGGGGCUAGCGUUGUCCGGAAUCAUUGGGCGUAAAGCGCGUGUAGGCGGCCCGGUAAGUCCGCUGUGAAAGUCGGGGGCUCAACCCUCGGAUGCCGGUGGAUACUGUCGGGCUAGAGUGCGGAAGAGGCGAGUGGAAUUCCUGGUGUAGCGGUGAAAUGCGCAGAUAUCAGGAGGAACACCGAUGGCGAAGGCAGUUCUCUGGGCCGUAACUGACGCUGAGGAGCGAAAGCGUGGGGAGCGAACAGG